rnacentral:lncRNA from 1 species
AGCAUUUGAAGUAGUAAGUGUAUCUUCUCAUUGUGAUGUUGGUCUGUGUACAUAACCAACGUAGUGACUCUUCGGUUAUCAUUAUUGGUAAUGUUUUUAUUUGUAGUCUCUGUGACCCACCAAUGGCAGGGAGUUCAAUUCACUCUCCUGUCCUGUUUUACGUUUGUCUGCCUGCAUGGUGGGUUUCUAUUUAAGACAUCUUUAUGAUUAUAUUUAACC